rnacentral:tRNA from 6 species
GCCAGAUUGUCCGAGCGGCCAAAGGAAGCGGACUGUAAAUCCGCCGGCUUAUGCCUUCGUUGGUUCAAAUCCAACAUCUGGCA